rnacentral:rRNA from 1 species
CAGCCGCCGCGGUAAUACGUAGGUGGCAAGCGUUGUCCGGAAUUAUUGGGCGUAAAGCGCGCGCAGGCGGUCUUUUAAGUCUGAUGUGAAAGCCCCCGGCUCAACCGGGGAGGGUCAUUGGAAACUGGGAGACUUGAGUACAGAAGAGGAGAGUGGAAUUCCACGUGUAGCGGUGAAAUGCGUAGAUAUGUGGAGGAACACCAGUGGCGAAGGCGACUCUCUGGUCUGUAACUGACGCUGAGGCGCGAAAGCGUGGGGAGCAAACAGGAUUAGAUACCCGGGUAGUCCACGCCGUAAACGAUGAGUGCUAGGUGUUAGGGGUUUCGAUGCCCUUAGUGCCGAAGUUAACACAUUAAGCACUCCGCCUGGGGAGUACGACCGCAAGGUUGAAACUUAAAGGAAUUGGCGGG